rnacentral:rRNA from 1 species
AACGAACGCUGGCGGCGUGGAUAAGACAUGCAAGUCGAACGGGAUUACUUUUGGUAGCAAUACCGAAAGUAAUUCAGUGGCGAACGGGUGCGUAACACGUGGGCAAUCUGCCGAAAAGUGGGGGAGUAGCUCGCCGAAAGGACGAAUUAAUACCGCAUGUGGUGAGGGACGGACAUCUUCCUGAAUCCAAAGACCGGGGCGAACCU